rnacentral:lncRNA from 12 species
GGUCUCUCUCUCUCUCUCUCUCUCUCUUUAAGGUUUAUUCUUAGUUCAAUAUUACUUGAAGAUCUGUUUAGGGCAAAACCACAUGUCUGUGCAUUACCACUGCCCCUUUGGCAUUGGUUCUUGCCUCCAACACUUCUUGGCUGUGUGACUGGUUGCUUCUGUGUUUUGUCUCCACCAUGGGCACAACAAUACUUGCAGGGAGGCAGAGAGGGGAUCCCUGGCCAUCAUUUGAAAGGAGAACAUGAAAGUUUUAUAUGCAUAAGAAAAAUGGAGACAUCUAGGGGCUUCCUUGAAAAAUCAGACAUAAAUCAGGGUAAGUGUAGUUAUUAAUCCGUAUGCAACAUUUUGUCUCAGAAAGAAACCUACAGAAUGAAAAAGACUUAGGAUACAUAUCAACCAAAGACAGUAUGUGGACCUUGGGGUCCCAAUUUGAACAAAAUGUAUUUUUUUCUUUUAAUUAUGGGAUACCAAGAAAAUAAGACCACCAUUUUAAUAUUCAAUUACAUUAAGGAGUUGUGUUUAAAUAUUUAAAAGGUGACAAUUUUAUUAUGGCUCUAUUUUUCAGAGUCUUUGCAUUUUAGAAAUACAUAUUGAAAUUUUUAUGAAUGCAACGGUCUGUGGGAAGCUUUAAAUCCAAUGGUGGGGUGGGGUGUGGGAGUGGCUGUGAUGAAAUAGAUUUGAAAUAAGAUUGGCCAUGAGUUGACAAUGAUUGAAUCCAAGUGAUGACGUAUAGGACUUAUUAUGCUAUACUUUCUACCUAUUCAUAUACACAUUUUAUUUUAUUAUUUAUU